AAUAAAUUAAAAUUCUACCCUAUGCUAAUAUCUUAGUCACGUGGUAGAAGUGUGCACUUUUCUAACGAGCGACCUGCUUCCAUCCAAAACCCACGAGGUGCGUGUGUGUGCGUGUGUUGCAGCCUGCGCAUGCGCCGUGAAGUCAAUCACGGGCGUCACACAACCGCAGCGAUUGCGGAUCUGGCACGUCGAUCACAGCCGAGGAGUAGUAACCGAUACGCGGGCAGGACGGAGAUGGCGAGCCGCUGCCGACGUGGAGGCCGAGUGUAGCGACGCCUCCCCCGCCAGCAUGUCUGCAACCUGGCCGUCUCCUCCCCCUUAAUCCAGUGUGACUGCAGUCGUCCUCCUCCGCGGGGACCGCUAUGACACCCUGCAGGAAUAAGUGAGUGAGUGAACGCGGUACCGCGCAGGAUGCUCAUCUGCAAGCCGACCUGGAAGACGCUCCGCAAUUGUUCCCGACCCCCGGUGCCGAGGACCGAGCGUUUCCCACGUCAACUUCCCGCUGCUGGUGUAUGAUGGAGAGCUCCAAUGGUUCUGCAGUUAGCGACACCAGACCGAACCAGCCGGAGAAAAAGAGACCGAACCGGGUGCCCUCCCCGGCAAGACCUCUUCUGAAGGACGUGCACGCCCGUGCCGCGAAACCGCCGCUCAUAGGACCCAAAUCGCCCAAACUCGGCAAGCAGCAGGCUCCCAUCCGGGGCUCCAGGCGCAAUCUCACCGCCGUGAAAGAGAAACCCGCCGCGGCCGCCAGGAGUAGCGCCAAGGCCGGGUUGACCAAAAAGCCCGGUAGGCUACCCGGAGCCGAACUCAAAGGAGCCGGCAGUCCGAUCCUCGCCAAGGCUAGGAAGACAAAAGUCGUCUCGGCGAGUGCCGGACAUCCCGGUCAUGGCUCCCCGCUCCGUGUACCGACAGGUCUGGUGGGUCAGACCGACAGCAGUUCGGACCUGUCGGACUGCCCGUCCGAGUUGGCGCCGGUGGCCAGCAGCGACGCCGAAUCUGCCACGGGCUCGAGCGACAGGGACCACCCGGGGGCAGAGCGUCCGCUCAGGGCAGAAACACCUGCAACUCCGGUGGUUCAUCCCCUCCCCAAGGCUUCUCUGUCUCUGGUCCGGUCUGGUCCAAAGAAACCCAAAGGAACCGAGGAUGAACUACUAAGGGAAAUUGAGGAUUUGCGAUCUGAGAACGAUUAUUUGAAGGAUGAGGCGGAAGAACUGCGGGCGGAGAUGGAAGAGCUUCGUGACACCUACAUGGACGAAGAGGUGUACCAAUUGCAGGAGCUGCGGCGUGAACUCGAGCGCUCCAAUAAGAACUGCCGCAUCCUUCAAUACCGCCUUAGGAAGGCCGAGCAGAAAGGCCUGCGUGCCGCCCAGACGGGACACGUGGACGGGGAGCUGCUGCGCGCCCUCGAGCAGGACCUUAAGGUGGCCAAAGACGUAUCGGUGCGCUUGCACAACGAGCUGGAGAGCGUGGAGGACAAGCGCAGCCGGGCCGAGGACGAGAACGAGCAGCUGCGUCAGAGGAUCAUCGAGGUGGAGAUCUCCAAGCAGGCCCUGCACAAUGAGCUGGAGCGUGCCAAAGAGACUGCACUGAGGCGACGAGGUGGCUCAUUUAAGGACAAGAAAUCCACCAACCAGGAGGACUGUGCUGACCUCAGAUGCCAACUCCAGUUUGCCAAGGAGGAGUCAGGUCUUAUGCGAAAAAAAAUGGCCAAACUCGGGCGAGAGAAAGACGAACUGGAGCAGGAGCUGCAGAAGUACAAGUCGGUUUACGGGGAUGUGGACAGUCCCCUUCCCCUGGCCGAGUGCUCUGGUGGAGGCCCUCAUUCAACCCGGGAAGCAGAACUACGGCUGCGACUCAAGCUAGUGGAGGAGGAAGCUAACAUCUUGGGAAGGAAGAUUGUGGAGUUGGAGGUGGAGAACCGCAGCCUGCGGGCCGAAAACGACGACAUCCGCUGCCAGUACGAGCGAGAUUGCUUCGGCCGGGAGCCAUUCUCCAGCAUGCCGUCGUCACCUUAUGGCGGCGACGUGCUAGAGUCUGCCGGCGAGCUCCGCCGGCAUCUCCAGUUUGUGGAGGAGGAAGCAGAGUUGCUGCGUCGCUCCAUCUCGGAGAUCGAGGACCACAACAGGCAGCUAACCUCAGAACUCAACCGCUUUAAGUUUGGCUGCGGGCCGGUAGGCGAAGAUGGUGGUGAUGGAGGAUUUAAACCUGCUAAUGGCUCCAAUGGCGGGAUGAUGAUGGAAGAGCUGAAAUCCGCAAGAAUGCAGAUCAACGAGCUGAGCGGAAAAGUCAUGAAGCUUCAGUACGAGAACCGAGUUCUCCUGUCCAAUGUCCAGCGUUGCGACCUAGCAGCGCACCUAGGUUUGAGAACAGGUAGCCCACGAGACAGUGAUGCAGACAGCGAUGCAGGUCGGCGGGAAGCGGCUGAAGACGAUGAGGCAGGGCGACUCCUUCUUCUCCAACCCAAGAGGGAGGGCCCCAUUGGUGGGGAGAGCGACUCGGAAGACCUGUUUGAAAAAACCACCACCACCUCUGGAUUCGGAAGCAUCAGACCCUCAGAUGGCAUCGAACUUAGUGCGGCAGAACUCGCCAACCGCCGCAGAGAGGAACGGGAAUCCUUUGCCAAUGUAAAAAGAGAGGCUGAUAGACUCGGCAAGUCUGUGGACCGUCUGAUCAAUGACACGGACAAUCUGAUACUGGAGGGAAGGCUUCUGGUGACAACACCUGAGGGUCCGCAAGGAGGAGGGGACCCUCAAGUAUUGGACACAAUCAAUACCCGAAUGAAAGCUUUCCGCACUGAGCUGCAUGUCUUCGUUGAAAAGCUAGAACACGUCAGCGAUGGACUCAGGGACAGGACUGAUGAUCUAUCCCCGAUGCCCAACCUCACCGAGUCCAGCAGCUUCCUGUCCACGGUCACCUCGAUGUCCCGGGAUUCUCCCAUCGGCACCUUCGGAAGAGAUCUGAUGACGGACUUCCAGUCCGGUCAGCGGGAUGAGCUGGAGUGGCGUGUAGGACAGGAGCGAAGCGUGGAGACCCACAACCAGAGCAGGGGAGGUGCGGCGGGACUCGCUAGGUACCACAGACCCCUGGUUUUAAGAGCAGAGCCACGGGAGAUUCCCACUCUCGACGCCCAGCUUCGUCCGGAUCACGAACGAUUGAUGAGAGUCACGACAGAAGAGCGGGAUGCGCCGGUCGUCUCAUUGCCUCAGGAGGACGAGCGCAUGCAUCCGGAGCCCCAGCGCCCACGUCUGGAGCUACCGGGCCUCCUCCAGGCUCCGGAAGCUUCCUGGGCUCAGGAGCGAGCUGUCCUGCAGCAAGAGGUCCGCCUCUUCCGCCGCAAUACAGCUAUCUUCUAUGUGAAGCUCAAGUCCAUCCUGGCACGUUGGAGGCUCGGAGGCAAGGACGGCACUUUACCCGACGACGGCACACAACCAGAAGUUGAGAAGUCGGAGAGUGCCCCCGAGCUGGGUGGGAUGAUGCAACCGGCGGAGGGUGACGGUGUAUCGGCUCCGGUGUCUCCCAAUGGACAGUACCAGCAUCAGUUUGGGGAGAACCGGCGAAUGCUGCAGGCACUGCGCACCCUGCUCGAGCAGUUUCGGGAAGAGCUCCGCGAGGAAGAGUCACGACGCUGCCAACUGCAGCAGGCCUACGCCAACGACAAAGCCGCAUGGGAGGUGAAAUGGGCCGAGAUGAAGUGCCAACUCGCACAGGUGGAGGAGGAAGCGCGAGGGAGAACGCGUGGCCAGGCUCAGGGAGGCGAAGGAGAAGCGUCGUCCCGGGACCCCGAGUGGGCACUGAAGCAGGAGCGCGAGGAGCACCGGCGCCUGCUGGCCGAAAGCCACAACACCUCGCUGGAUCUCCGCUGGCGGCUGCAGCACGGCGAGAAGCGGUGGAGCCGUGAGAGGGCUGAGCUGCUGGAAAACUUUGAGCGGCAGAGGCAAGAGUGGGACGGCGGAAACCGCGAACUCUACCAUAAGAUGGAGAGGCUGCAGAGGGAGCUGAAUUGCCGACGAGGCGAGGGCACUGAGGACGGCGGCUCCUGCUCUGGCACCCGCUCCCCUCGUUCCCCGCGAUCCCCACGCUCCCCGCGGUCCCCCGCCCCCAUCCUGGUGCCACCUGUCCGCUCCCUCUCCGACUCGGAUGCUGGACAAGUAGGCACUACCUCCGGGAGGCUGAGAAGCCCAACAGAGAGCCCCUUUCUGGAUGCACUGUCUCUGGAUCCCCUGGCCAGCCUUGAGGUCCCCCCGCCCUGCAGGCUUGAGGGUGAGAAGAGGUUUCCCUGCAUGAAGGAGGCCCUCAAUGUGAUUUCCGAGAGAGAAGCUACGGAUUUGUACCCCGACGAAGAGAUGGGUGGCGGCAGUUUGCUUAGAGCCAAGUCUGUUUGCUCCAUGAGCGACUUCCAACGCCUGAUGGACAGCUCGCCGUUCCUCCCUGACAAGACGCGCCCCGGUGAGCAAGGCCAAGACGACGUCACCCCACCCCUUUCACCAGAUGACCUCAAGUACAUUGAGGAGUUCAACAACAAGGGUUGGGAUUUCCCGUCAUCUGCCGCCGUCCCUACAGAGCCGCGGGGAGCGGAAGCGGACUCCUUCCAAACACCCUCCUGGUUCCUCACCACCAGCGCUAGCCUGACAACCACCAGCACACUUAACAGUCGGGCAGGUGUGGGAGCAGACGCCUAUGGGGUCCACAUCCUCCACAGCCCCACCAGGCCCGGGCCAGAGUCUGAAUCUGACCUGCUUUACACAAAAGGGAGCAAGGCGAGAGGAGACGGGGAGGCGGCCAGCGGGUCAGAUGAGGUGUUCGGCAGCGGGAGGUGGCCUUGUGGCCUUCUGGAAACUGGGGGGUUAAGGACUUCUCCGAACCAGUCCCCCAUUUGCCCCACAGUGGGCUACGCUUCCUCGCUAGAGCUCCAGCUUUCUCGGAACAUGAGCGACGAUAUGAAAGAAGUGGCCAUUUCAGUAAGGAACGCCAUCCGCUCCCCGCCGGGGCCCAUUGUCCGGGACUCGGCCUCCCAGACCAACGGGUUCACUACGAGGGGCACUCAGACCACGCAGACCAUCAGCGUGGGUUUACAAACCGACCUGCUGAGGACACUAACCAGCAGCCCCCACCGCUGCCUUACCCCAAAAGGUAGCGGCACCCCCAUCUCGUCCCCAUCACGGAAUACCCGGAAGGUGCAGUACUCGCCCGUCAUCCAGAGUAAGUUUGAGCGACCUUGCUGCUCACCUAAGUACGGCUCACCCAAAGUUCAACGCAAGAUGUCUUCGGCCAACAAGGCGGACAUACCCAACACCAGCCGGGCCGCCACCCCUACCACCCCGCAAAAGGGCAACAACGAGUCUGCAUGGGCCCGCUCCACAACCACGCGGGACAGCCCAGUUCACACGACCAUCAACGACGGCCUCUCCAGCCUCUUCAACAUCAUCGACCACACGCCUGUUGUUUACGACGCCGGCCAAAAGUUUAACAAGUCCCCGAGCCGGUCUCGCCCCACAAAUGCCGCCGAGUCCGGCCCUGACCCCAGGAGUGCCAGGGGCCGCUCCCCCAGCCCUGUGCAGUUGAUCGUGGAGACGCAAGGGGACCGGAACGCUGAAGUAGUCAGCAUUCGGCAGGACCUGUCCGCACCGCCGGGAUACACUCUGGCCGAGAACGCCGCCCGCAUCCUUAACAAGAAACUGCAGGACGAAAGGAGGAUGCAAGCGGGAGGACUGGGAAGCAAGGUGGUUGACCCGGAAAGAGCGCAGCCUGGAUGCAUGGAGGUAAAUCACUUAACAUUGUUCCUCGAAUGGGGACGUCUCCAAUUGAUCGUUAAAUUUACGGUAACAUUAGCUGUGGUUCCAUGAAAAGAAAACCAUAAAAUUCAACAAAGUGUUUUUCGUAUAUCUUUUUUUCAUCUUAAAAUUAUAACAGACAAAAUAGACGGUGCCAUCGACGAUAAUAGACAUCUUAAUCAUGUAGCUCUUUCCAUCCUGUGAAUUCCCGUUACUUUGUUGCUACUAGAAGUCCAAUCUAUUUGAACUGGGAAGAUUGGAUGUCUAUCACUGUCAAUGGCAGUCAAAGAGUUAUUAAAGCAUUUUUUAAAAAAAUACUCUGAUAUAUGCAUAAAUGUUCUCUUGUCAUCCUCACUCUCCAACACACACAUCUUGGCAGUCCAGCGUGCUGACUGCUGAGCUACUGACGACCGCUGAGAGCAGUUGUUUGUAGUUUGAUGUUCAUUGGAAAUUUUAAUGGUACAAUUCUGUCAGCUACAGCUGCCAGUAUUUUACUGCAUAUUUAACUUGUUUACAGUGUAUGAGCUCUGUCUUCACCAAUUUUAUUUUAAUAGGUCUACAUUCUUCUGGCUUUCUCAUGUUUCAGUACAAAGACAUCAUGUGAUUUGCCGGAUACAUGUGUCCCUUUAAUGGAAUUGCUGGAACUUCUCUUGACCAAAUAAAUGUGUCGGCUCAGCCAAGAUAUGAAAGGGAUCAUGCUUACAAAUGAGCGUAACGAUUCGGGAUUAGCGGAAGAUUAUUUUGGUAAAGUUGCAGAUAAUCCUCUUAACAAGAAUCAAUCUUCACCAAAGCAAAAAAAAAGCUUUGCAGUAAUUGCAGGCAUUCUAUCAUGAAUUCCUGACCUGCAUCUUCAGCAUUUUUAUGGGGAGUCAAACAAGCUUCACUGCUAUAUGCCAAGACGAAAACUAAAGUAGAUUACAAUUCAUCUUUUUCUAUCUGACUUGUGAGCAGUAUUGUUUUUGGCAGCGUUUUUAAUUUUUGUCUUAGUCUUUUGGACAAAAAUACUUAUUCAUCUUAGUCAUGUUUUGGUCACUUCAAUAUGUGUUAGUUGUGUAUUGUUCAUUAAAAUAUUCUACUAGAUUUAGUCAACAAAUACAAUGUUUUCAUCUUCAAAAAUUCAAGGGCCUGCUGACCUUGACUCGAGAUGUUGUGAGUUGGUGGGCUAAAUACUUUGAAGACCUCCUCAACUCCACCAACACACCUUCCCAUGAGGAAGGAGAGCCCAAGGACUUUGACCUACUAUCUUGGGUGUUGAUGUUGCUGAGGUGGUUGAAAAGCUCCUUGGUGACAAAGCCCACGGGUUGCAUGAGAUCCACUCGGAGUUUCUAAAGGCUCUAGAUGGUGUGGAGUUGUCUUAUAUGACACGCCUCUGCAACAUUGCUUGGAAAUCGGGGACAGUGCCUCUGGAUUGGCAGACCGUGAUGUUGAUCACACUCCUCAGCUCCCAUGUAAGGUCAAUUCAGGGGUACUGGAGAGGAGGGUCCGUCAGGAAGUUGUAUCACAAAUUCAUGAGGAGCAGUGUGCUUUUUUUCCUGGCUGCAGAACAGUCAAUCACCUCUAUACCCUUAGCAGGGUUUUUCGUGGGGUCAUGGGAGUUGGCCCAACCAAUCGACAUGUGUUUUGUGGAUUUGGAGAAGGCGUUCGACCAUGUCCCCCAGGGAGUUCUGUGGGGGGUGAUCCGGGACUGUGGGGUACUGGAACCCCUGAUAUUGGGGAUCUGGUCCCUGUAUCACCGGUGUCAGAGUUUGCUCCGUGUACCUGGCAGUAAGUCGUAUCCGUUUCCAGUGAGGGUUGGACUCCGCCAAGGCUGCCCUAUGUCACGGAUUCUGUUAAUAACUUUUAUGGACAGAAUAUCUAGGAGCAGCUAAGGCUGCUUUGGUGACCUCGGUACUGCAUCUCUCCUUUUUGCAGAGGAUGUAUUUCUAUUGGCUUUAUCAGGCCGGGAUCUUCAACUCUCACUGGACCGAGUGUGAAGCGGUUGGGAUCAGAAUCAGCAUCUCCAAAUCUGAGAUCAUUGUCUUCAGUCUCGAAAAGGUGGAAUGCCUUUUCCGGGUCAGGGGUGAGGUCCUUCUCCAAGUGGAGGAGUGUCUCAGGGUCUUGUUCACGUGUGCGUAGAGAAAGGAGUGGUAGAAAAACUGGCGGAUCGGUGCGGCGUCUGCAUUGGUCCUUCAUGGUGAAGAAGGAGCUGAGCUGAAAGGUGAAGCUCUCUAUUUACCGGUCGAUCCACGUUCCUAUCUUCACCUAUGGUCAGGAGCUGUGGGUCGUGACCAAAAGAACAAGAAUCCUGAUACACGCGGCCGAAAUGAGUUUCCUCUGAAGGGGUUCCCGGCUCUCCCUUAGAGAUGGUGUGAGAAGCUCGGUCAUCUGGGAGGGGCUUAGAGUCGAGCCGCUGCUCCUCCGGUUUGAAAGGAGCCAGAUGAGGUGGCUCGGGCAUUUGAUUAGGAUGCCUUCCAGACGACUUGUGAGGUGUACUGAGCAUGUCUUACUGGGAUGAGGCGGCGGGGAUGACCCAGGACACCCUGUGGAGACUAUGUCUCCCGGCUGGCCUGGGAUCGCCUUGGGAUUCUCUCGGAAGAGCUGGAUGAAGAGGCUGGGGAGAGGGAAGUCUGUACUUCCUUGCUAAAGCUGCUGCCCCCCGCGACCCAUCCUCAGAUAAGCCGGAGAAAAUGGAUCAAUGGAAAAUUCGAAGGUUUUAGUCAAAAAAUAAAAACAGGUUUCAAACAUUUUGGAAUGAACAGCCUAACGUUAAUGCUAACGCGAAUGCUAUGCUAAUGCUAAGAGUUACAAUAAGUGUGUGAUGAUCACUCAGCCCAGACCUCUAAAGGCUAAAGCAACAUUGCAUGAGUUAACCACCAAACGCAAACAUAGCUAUGAUGCAGGCUGACUAAUUAUACAUACAAUAAGAAAAUGUCACGCCUUAUGAACAUCUCACAGAAACUACAUACAGCAUGUCGCUUUUUCGUCUUGUUUUCAUCUCGUCAGACAAAAACAGGCGUAGAGAACAUUUUUUUCAAAUGAAAAAAACAAUGCUUGUGAGGCUCUAAAAAUGUUUUGUCUCUGACUAAAUCCAGCAACUACAGUGAUACCUCGACAUUCGAUCACUUCGACACACAAUCCUUUCGACAUCCAACGUAAAAUUUGACUCGCCAUUUGUUUCUACAUCCGACGACAUGCUCGAAAUAGCGAAAGCGCAGCUUUGCUUUCCUGCAAGACGGACGGGAGAAAUCACCAUGGGUUUCAAGAAUGUUAGCGCAGGUGGUGAAAAAAGGAAAAAGGUGAGGCUUACCAUUGAAAUGAAGAUGGAAAUGAUAGAAAAAUACGAGUGUGGUGUGCGCCUCAGUGAAUUGGCUUGAAAAGAAGAACGUUUACGAUCACGACGGUCCUCCUCCGACCUCCAUUCGUCAGUCUUUAUAAGUUAAGGUGAUAAUUAUGUUUGAACAUUGCCCAAAAAACCGCCAGCUUCGUCAGGUUUAUAAUCAUUUCUUUCAGAACUGUGCAACACAACAUGCCUACUAUCCGCCACAGUUGAACAUGAAAAGUGAAAGUAAAAAGUCCUCUCUCACUCUGUCAAGUCAGCCACACGAUGCGUUCAGGUACACCACACAAAACAUAUUCGCCACAUUAGAACCUGAUUCUUACAUUAGUUCAGGUAUUGUUAUUAUUACUAUUAUUAUAUGAUCAUUCCCAUUUUAAUUCAUAAUUUAUUUGUUUUGCUCUGUGUAAUUGCUAUUUGCAAUAGUGCCCACAAUAUCUAUUAAAGAUUUAGUGUAGGUUUUCGCGAUGUGGAAUGCAGUAAUGGAAUUAUAAUGUAUUCUUAUGGGAAGAUCCUGCUCGAUAUACGACCAUUUUGACUUACAAACAAGGUCCUGGAACGAAUUAACUUCGUAUGUAAAGGUACCGCUGUAUUUGACUUUUUUUUUUCCAUUGCAAGCGUCACAAUUCGAAUUCACCCGACAUAUCGGCUGGUCGUUCCCGGUUUUUAUUCCCAGGUCAUCCUCUUGUCCUCCAGCUGGAUUUAAACCUUUCCCGGUUUGUCUUUCCCCCCUCUUUGCUCCAGAAGCACACUGUCAUACUAACAACUCCGUGGGGACUAUAAGUCUCCACCAUGACCUCCCCCACUCUCUGGUGGUUCCGCCCUUGGAGUGGCACUACCUGCGCCGAGCCCGCCCCCCCAACCGCCGCCCACCCUCGCGCUGGGCCAACCUCUCGCCGCC